UCUCUCUCUCUAAAAUUCAACCUUCUUCAUCUCCCUCUCACCAUUUUCUCUCUCCGAAAAAAACAGUCACUGAAGCUUAAAAAAAUGUCGAUGAAGCUUCAAUUCACUCGAUUAUUCGCUGAUUUUAGAUUGAAGAUGAAGGAAGUAGAAAAAUACAAAAAAUAAGCCGAAAAAAACCUACGAAGGAAUAAGGAAACCGAAGCUCACCUCGAUAAAGAAAUUGAUCUCAUCAAAGGGGGACAAGGCCUGCUGAUGUGCAACAUAAUGUGGAACCAAUUGUUGAGCACGAUAUUAAGGAAGUGGACCAGAAACAUUGAAAACCAAGGAAACAUGUUGAAAAGAUGAAAGAGAGGACAAAAAGUAUUGUUAGAGAUGUCAAGAAGCACAAGACUAUAGUUGAGGUGCGUUCAGGGCCACAAGACUGUGUAGAAGUGGAUAAAAAAUCAAGACUGCUGGAGAAAGCUAGACUCUUGAGUAUUGUACAUGUUACUUGCAUGUGUUUGUGCGCUCUUUCAUGUGUACUUGUGUAAAUUCAGAACAUUAAGUUCGAGAAUGCAAAACAUUUAGCUUAGGAAUGCAGAACAUUUAGUUUGGAACUCAAAACAUCUAGUUUUAGAAUUCAGAACAUUUAGUUUGGGAAUUCAGAACAUCUACUUUGU